rnacentral:rRNA from 1 species
GUCGAACGCGUCUUGGUUAUUGAUGUUAGAUGCUUGCAUUUAACUGAUUUAACAUUGAGACGAGUGGCGAACUGGUGAGUAACACGUGGGUAACCUGCCCUUGAAGUAGGGGAUAACACUUGGAAACAGGUGCUAAUACCGUAUAACAACCAAAACCACCUGGUUUUGGUUUAAAAGAUGGCUUCGGCUAUCACUUUAGGAUGGACCCGCGGCGUAUUAGCUUGUUGGUAAGGUAACGGCCUACCAAGGCAAUGAUACGUAGCCGACCUGAGAGGGUAAUCGGCCACAUUGGGACUGAGACACGGCCCAAACUCCUACGGGAGGCAGCAGUAGGGAAUCUUCCACAAUGGACGAAAGUCUGAUGGAGCAACGCCGCGUGAGUGAUGAAGGGUUUCGGCUCGUAAAACUCUGUUGUUGGAGAAGAACAGGUGUGAGAGUAACUGUUCACAUCUUGACGGUAUCCAACCAGAAAGCCACGGCUAACUACGUGCCAGCAGCCGCGGUAAUACGUAGGUGGCAAGCGUUGUCCGGAUUUAUUGGGCGUAAAGCGAGCGCAGGCGGUUUCUUAGGUCUGAUGUGAAAGCCUUCGGCUUAACCGGAGAAGUGCAUCGGAAACCAGGAGACUUGAGUGCAGAAGAGGACAGUGGAACUCCAUGUGUAGCGGUGAAAUGCGUAGAUAUAUGGAAGAACACCAGUGGCGAAGGCGGCUGUCUGGUCUGUAACUGACGCUGAGGCUCGAAAGCAUGGGUAGCGAACAGGAUUAGAUACCCUGGUAGUCCAUGCCGUAAACGAUGAGUGCUAAGUGUUGGAGGGUUUCCG